GCUCAUUAUACGUGGUUUUGUUGAUUAUGUUAAAAGGUUAUAUAGAAGCCUGAUGCUGCCCCUAGCUCUGGAAAGGGCUUCUUUGCACUUCAGUGAAAGCAUUUGCUCCAUUCUAGAGGGGAACUUAGAAUGGAAACAAACAGCAGAAAAUUAGAUGGUAUGAUGUAGUUGAAUACCAGUGGCCUGAGAUUCAAAACAGGUUCAGCAAUAAAUCAGCAAUAAAUCAGUAGC
rnacentral:misc_RNA from 1 species